UCCUCUUUGGGCUUAUAUGCUCA
rnacentral:snRNA from 1 species